rnacentral:lncRNA from 10 species
CGCUGCGCGCCGGACGGGGCCCAAGCGGGGGUCGGAGCCUCAAGGCUGCGGCGGCGACGAGCUCCGAGCGGGACACUGAACGGCCCGUAUGCGCAAGAUAAGCACGGACUGAAUCAGGUACACGCACCUGCCGGGGACGCACUGACCGAGGUGCGGACGGCGGUACCAGGACAGGUAAAGCCGCGAACACUCGGACCUAAGAACUUGACAGGUACACCCUGCCUGAUGAAGCUACGUACGGCCAGGUGCGCAUCGAGUGAAUCAGGUCAUCAUCUCACCCUUGUUCAUUAUUGGAUGGAGAAACCAGGGUCCCAGAGACACUGGCCGGCUGGGGCAAGAUCACCACUCAUUCCUAUCAACAGCUGGGUUAAAGGUGCAGAAGACAUGCUUAUUCGAUUUGCAGGUGACCCAAAACUAGAUGCAGUGGCUGGUAUUUUAAAUGACCAAACAAGAGCCCAAAAUCCCCUAAAGCGGAUGAGAUGAUGGACUAACCCCUCUACGGAUGGAUGUAAAAUUAAAAUUUUUUGCAUGAAAGAGAUUUUGGCUGAAGGUUCAUUGCACAUUGAGAUGGUUGCCCCAAAUGAUUGUGGUCUCAGGCUGAGUCUGUAGAGGUACAGGUUGACGAUGAGGGAGGUGAUAGCUGGAGGGUUGUGCUCAACUCUGGUUGUCGUACAUUUGAGGAGACAGGGAGAGACCAGAGUCCAGUUUGUGGAGGGUAAAGGUUAGUGAGGAACUGGGGAUACUGAUCUUGCAGAAGAGAAGACUCAAAAGGGCAGAGGCAGGAACAGUGGUAUAACCCUGCCUGGCUCCAAGGGCAGAACUGGCACCCAUGGAGAUAACAGGGGCCUGAGAACCAGCUCUGUGGCUAUCAGAACUUUCCCACAGUGAAUCAGAGUGCCUUCAGAGGUGGUGAGCUCCCCAUCACCAAUGGUAUGCAAGCAGAGUGAGGAAAGGAUUCCUGUUUCCAGCUCUCAGAUGGUUUUAUCAACAGCAAAAAAACUAGACCCUACUGAUAAAAAUUUCUGUUGGCUAUAUAUACACAUAUAGUUAACAAAUAUGUAAUCCAUAUUUCCCCUAUUUUAAGGUUUAUUUUAUUUUAUUUUUGAGACAGGGUCUCACUCUGUCACGCAGGCUAAAGUGUAGUGCAGGAUCUUGGCUCACAGCAGCCUCUACCUCCCGGUUUAAGCCAUUCUCCCACCUCAGCCUCCUGAGUAGCUGGGACUACAGGCUCCUGCCACUACACACCUGGCUAAUUUUUGUAUUUUUUGUAGAGACGAAGUUUCGCCAUGUUGCCCAGGCUGAUCUCAAGCUCUUGGGCUCAAGCAAUCCACCUGCCUUGGCCUCCCGAAGUGCUGGGAUUACAGGGUGAGAACCUACUUCUUCAUAAAGAGAAUUUGGAGGGAGCUUUUUGUUCUGCGGGGACAACAUCUGGAUUUGAAUACAUCCAUGCUCAAAAGGAGAUUUCUCAUAAUGGACCCAACUGAAAGCACUCAGAGUACAAGGACCGGUGAGCUUUCAAAAGGAGACACUUCGGGAGACUCGCCAGGGGCCCUCGUAUCCCCGGCAGCGCGAGUUUUGGAGGUCAGUGGAGGGCUCUCGCAUCAUGCAUGUAACUUUCAUACUCAAAAACUUACCUUCAUCCUGCAUCCCUCACCCCCCUGCAGAAACUUGGGGCUUGAAUUCAUUUAAAAACAUUUGCGGUUUCAGAAGCCUUCUUUUUAUUAUGAAGCUGCCAAGGAGAUCUUAGAAUGAAAGGCAUUUUUAGAGAUGAGAAAGAAGGAAGCCAGGCCAAGGCUGGGCCGGCUCUCAGCCGUGGGUCUGUAAAGGUGACACGUGGGACAUGGCCACCUGCAGACCCUGCAGGCGGCUGGGCAGAGGCACCCACAGGGACCUGGGUUUGAAUCCCUGCUCUGCCAGUCAUUUCCACAGCGAUCUUGGGGGAAGUUGUGUAACCUCUGGGCCCUGCGACGCCCUUUCCUGGAGCCUGGAGCUGGAACGAAGCCCCUUGGAGCCCUGACAUCAGAGGUGACGUUAGUCUUCGCAGGCAAUGACUCGGCGGAAUGUGAUGCCACUCCCUAACCCGUGUCCGGACUGGCAGAGUGUGUGCCGCCUCCCACCAGGUGGUCUGGCUGCUUUGAUGGAUCUCCUAACUUCUCUGCACCCCAGAGCCCUCAGUGCUGGCCAGACCUUCACUCACUCCUGGGUGACAACCCCGUUCUCAGAUAGUGGGUCCCACAGGCUGGCCUGUGGCGCCCCCUGCUGGUGACUGCAGGGAGAAGGAUGCCCUAAGCCAAAGGAAGUCCUUCCUGGGGUCUAAUCUCUACCUUUUGCAUGAUGAGGCAGCUGAGGUGGCUCGCUUUCUCCUCCACCCCAGAAAAUAAAGUCAUAUGGAGUCCAAGCAGUUAUUUUUCUCUGCUAGGCCAGUCCAUCAUAAGCCCCAAAUGGAGGGGCCCCUGGAAUGAGCCCUAUGCAGGCCUUCUAUGGACAAGGGCCCUUCAGGGAGUAGGGCUGUGGUGAGGAUGGGGUGCAUGUGUGUGGGCUCUCACCUGGGUGUGGGAAGAUCAGAGGGACCCCACAGGUCAGUGUUUGCAGAUGAAAAAAUGAAGGUAGGAGCUGGGCACGGUGGCUCACGUCUGUAAUCCCAGCACUUUGGGAGGCCAAGGCAGGUGGAUCACGAGGUCAGGAGAUCGAGACCAUCCUGGCUAACAUGGUGAAACCCCGUCUCUACUAAAAAUACAAAAAGUUAGCCAGGUAUGGUGGCGGGCUCCUGUAGUCCCAGCUACUAGGGAGGCUGAGGCAGGAGAAUGGCGUGAAUCUGGGAGGCGGAGCUUGCAGUGAGCCGAGAUCGCGCCACCGCACUUCAGCCUGGGCUACUGAGCAAGACUCCAUCUCAAAAAAAAAAAAAAAAAAAAAAAGAAGGUAGGAAGCUUCAGCCUGAAGGUAAAGUUUUGGGGCAGCUCCAACCCACUGCCCUCCUGGGACCGGUUUUAUCAGCGUUUCCCUGUAAUUGGUGAAAGGCCUUCAGUUAGCCAUUUCUCUGAAGAUUAGAGAAAGCAAGAGAGAUGUGAGUUAAACACAAGGCGGGACUUCUCAAUGAUGGGGGAUGUCAGACCUCAGAAAGGGGAGCAAAGGAACCUUCCCACUGAGGGCAGCCUCCAGUGAGGUGGGGUCCAGGCCAGGCGGGUGAGAUGGCCCUCAACACUGUCCAUCUGGAGGGGCCUGGGACUAGGUUGUAGUCUAUGGGGGUCUCAGGAUGGAAAGGCCUCUUGAGAGGCUCCUGGUGGCUGGGACUUUUGUGGAUGGGAUGGUGAGGACGGGCAGGGGGAGAGACUGAGGCCCAGAGGCAUUGCCACCCCCAUCCUCCCCCGCCUGGUAAACUCAUCUUCCUGACUCAUUGGCUUGCCUCCUCUGCGGACACUGCCUGGUCCCUGUGCAAGGUCACGUUGCUUGCCCUCCACGAGCUCCCGUCCUGCUGCUGAGCUCAUGUUCUGUGAUGGCAGCCUCUGUGUCCAUCCUCCCUGCUGGACUGUGGGCUCCACACCGGCUGAGACCUGACUGUCUUGCUCCAGCCUGGCUCUAACUCCAGCACCUGGCACAUCUAAUCUUGCCUGGCAUGUCCUGGUGCUCAGUGGCUUCAACUGAGAAGAGGCCCAGGGUCUUCCUUGGUCCAGCUAAGCCUGGCUUUAGAAAGGAUUGGGGCAGACGUAGGGGAGGCAGAGCCCCAAGUCUUGAUGGAUGGGUGACCUGGGCACUCUGACUUUCUGCACAGGGCUACCCCUUUCCCCCAUUGAGACACCCUCCUAACUCAGCUGUAGGCUCUGACACCCCACUUCUGGCUGGCUCUGGCUUCCCACACUGGAACCAUCCCCUGCAUGGCUGCCUUGCUUUGUCUGCCUGGGCUCUGACACCCAUAUCAGGCUGACCCCAUAGGGGUGACAGCCCCUCACUGAUUUGUACUCUGACACCCCUGGGCCAGCCUGCCUUCCCCAGUGGUCCCCCUCCUCACUCUGCUAGGAAUCCUGCUGUGUUCAUCCAUGGUUCCCCCAUUCCCUUGCUCUGCUGCACAUAAUAGUUUUAGGACUGAAUUGUUGAGGAAGGAAAGGAGAGAGGAGGAACAGAACUCUGUUUUUGAAAAAUUAUUUUAACUGUGGACAUUUUUGUGCGAGAAAAAUUUUGGACAGAAUACUAAAUGGAGCUGCUCUGGUUGAAGAAAGAGUGAAAGAGAGGGAGAAAGAGAAGAGAAUGGGAAAGGACAGACAGCAGAGAGGAGAGGGAGAGGGGAGAGAGAGGACAGGGGAGGGAAGAGGAGAGGGGAGGGGAGGGGAGAGAUGAGGGGAGGGGAGGGGAGAGGAGAGGAGGAAGCCCUUCAAUGCCCCUGGAGUCCUGCCCACUUGGUCCCACUCCCUCAGAACUCUCAUCUGUCAUUAAGCUCUUGGGGUUCCUAGGUGUGCAGUUUGGGGACCACCGGACAAGAAUUCUGCCUCAAAUAAAAUGAGUGCCACUUAGCCGCUAAGAUGUCUUCUCUGAGCUUUUCUGAGAAGCAGCCCUGGAGGCAGCGGGCUCACCACCUACCCUGAGUAGCUUCUGAGCCUGGCAGCAGUCACCUGGAGCUUGAGGGUAGCAGCUGCCUCUGCCUGGAGGAGGCAUCUCUGAGCAGGGCCAGGGGGCCCUGGACAGGCAUUGGAGGUGUCCUUCCGGGCCUGGUGGAAGUGGGCUAGGGGCUGUGAGUGAGAAGACUUCUAUAGGCCGAGGCACUGGGUAGACACCUCACCCCCAGCCAUCUGUGGACCCUUUGUGACCCUUUAUGCUCCAUCUCUGUCUCCCCCACAAUCACCGGAGAAACAGGAUCUGGGAAUUCUGCCUUGGUGGCCGAAGCAGAAGUCACUGCCCUCCUAAUGCCACUCAUCGGACCACACAACACUUUCACCGCCAGUCCUUGUGUGAUUUGAUCUUUGCAAAUCAGAGAUAGUACUGUUAAUAAUUUCCCUGCAGGAAAGAGGAAGUUAAGGAUAUGAGGAAUUGCCGUCAGGAUCAGAGCUUCAGACCCCCACACCCUCUCCUGCUGCUGUGUCUCCAACUGAUGCUGAAAGUAAAAGCCGCCACUCACUGGCCGGUUACCUGCCCAGCACUCCACAGAGCUUGUUUUUUGUGACCUUCAUGACAGCUGUGAGUCUCAUUUUAUUGAUAGAGACACUGAGGCCCAGAAGAAACUGGCCCAAGAACACACAGGUGGUGAGUGGUAGAGCUGGGAUUUGAACCCAGGGAGGCUGGCUUUCCUUGGAAGGAUUAUACGAACAUUUUAAUUGGUUUGGCCCACAAGAAUUGAAUUGCGAAGGAAUGAGGCUUCCCAAGCCUUUCAUCAGACCGUCCGCAGUCUCUUGUAGCUGUCUUCAGCUCAGGGACAUCAUUAAAAGGAACUUUGCAGCUUGGGCAACAAGAUCAUCACUACGAAGAGCAAAACAGGCCACUUGCCCACCUUGACAGAGCUGGUAAGUGGCAGAGCCAGGACCAUCCAGACGGCUCAGCUUCCAAGCCAGCAAGCCUCAUCGCCAUGCAGUUUGUCCCCAGGGAGGAAGGAUGCUUCUGGUCCCAGGGUCCAGGAUGCUCUACCCUCCUUCCUCUAGGAUAUCCAGGGGGCCAGCUUUAGUGAGAGGAGAGUGCAUGGUCCAGCCUUCUGGGGGCACCCAGAGUGUCCCCUUCCACUCCCAGCUUCCCACUUCUGCUCCACUGUCUCCCUGCAGGAGGCUCUGGGAAGGCAGAGAUGGAGCUGUGGUCCCCACCGCCUUCUGUGGCAGCUCACUUUCAUUCAUUUUCUUUAAAUGCUUCUCACUCUCUGUUUUUAAAUCUAAUUUUUCAGCUUCUUUUUCAUCUUCAUUCAAGUUGCUUUAAUGAAACGAAAAUGUGUCUGUUUCCCUCUGCUGGAGCUGCCCGGGGAAUUUCAAUAUAAAACAAACAAGUUGGCUUUUAAAAUUAAAAUUUUAUGGGUGGCAUUUCCUCAUUUAAUGGGUGGCACAAAAGAGUGGAGUAAAACCAAUUAACAUGGGGUUGAGACUCGGUGUUCAGAAAAACUAAACAACAGGAGCGCGGUGCGCCAGGAGCCAGGAGCAGUUCCAGCAGAGGCUGGGGAGGUGCGCGGGUGAGGCAGUUGUGGAGGCUCCCCCCACUCCCUGGCAGCUGUGUGCACCCAGGUCGGGCACUAGCACAUACAGGGAUGCCAGCCUCAGCUCCCCACCCAGCUCUACCCCCAGGACCCAUGCCCAGGGGUUGGUGUGCACAUCUACCUUGCACAUUCAGAUGGCAGGCGAUAGUGGGGGCUGAGAAUGUGGAGGGGCGGGGGAGGCUGCCUUGGAGCCCUGGGGUCCUGGACACUGUUGUCUGGAGAAGCAUUAGGAAGUAGCUAAGGCCUCUGCCAGGGCCAGCAUUCAUUCGGAUAGUUAUCCUCUGACGCAAUCUGAGUCCUACUCACGAGGGCCUCAUCUUCAUCAUGGCUAUGCCCCAGGGCCCAGACCGCACCAGGAGUGUGGCAAGUGCUGCAUAGAUGCUGGAUACCUGGAUGAAUGACUUCAUUCCGGCAAACAAUACUAAUGGAAAUCCUGCUCUGCUGUGACUCCCUCAGGGUGGGUGUCACCCGGCAUAGGGUGUGUUUGGGGUAGAAAUGGUGAAGAUACCACAGGAGAUCUGAGGAGCAGGGGCAUGCCUGGGUGGCGCUGCAGGGAGAGAAUGGCUCUGUGGAACUGGCAAGGGCAGAGUGAACAGGGCUGGAGAAGAGGCAGUCCGGGCAAGGGCGGGGUGGGGAGGGAGCUGAGAAAUUGAGGUGGCUGAAUCUGGCCUGGAAGGAAGUAGGGGUAAGAAGAUGAGUCUGGAGAGACCAGUCGGGGCUGGCUUGUGAAGAGUGGCAGGUUGCUUUGACUUCAUCUCAGGGCAAUGGGGACUUGCUGCAGGCUCAGAGCAAGGUGAUGUGAUUCCAGGUGGCUUCAGGGACACUGACUCUGGAGGCUGGUGGGAGGGAAAGGAGAGUCCCGCCAGGUGUGCUGGCAUCCCUGCAGGCUGAGCUGAGUACUUCAGGCUGGUUGGU